rnacentral:ncRNA from 1 species
GAAAGCUAGGGGAGCGAAGGGGAUUAGAUACCCCAAUAGUACUCCUGGCCGUAAACGAUGGAUACUAUGUGUUGUGCGUAUCGAUCCGUGUAGUGCUGUAGCUAACGCGUUAAGUAUCC